CCUACGGGUGGCAGCAGUGGGGGAUAUUGCACAAUGGGGGGAACCCUGAUGCAGUGACGCCGCGUGGGUGAAGAAGCGCCUCGGCGCGUAAAGCCCUGUCAGCAGGGAAGAAAAUGACGGUACCUGAAGAAGAAGCCCCGGCUAACUACGUGCCAGCAGCCGCGGGAAUACGUAGGGGGCAAGCGUUAUCCGGAUUUACUGGGUGUAAAGGGGGCGCAGACGGCGAUGCAAGCCAGGAGUGAAAGCCCGGGGCACAACCCCGGGACUGCUCUUGGAACUGCGUGGCUGGAGUGCAGGAGGGGCAGGCGGAAUUCCUGGUGUAGCGGUGAAAUGCGUAGAUAUCAGGAGGAACACCGGUGGCGAAGGCGGCCUGCUGGACUGCAACUGACGUUGAGGCCCGAAAGCGUGGGGAGCAAACAGGAUUAGAUACCCUAGUAGUC
rnacentral:rRNA from 1 species